rnacentral:rRNA from 1 species
UACAGAGGUCUCAAGCGUUGUUCGGAUUCAUUGGGCGUAAAGGGUGCGUAGGUGGUGGGGUAAGUCGGAUGUGAAAUCCCGGGGCUCAACCCCGGAACUGCAUUCGAUACUGCCUUGCUCGAGUACUGGAGAGGAGACUGGAAUUCCCAGUGUAGCGGUGAAAUGCGUAGAUAUUGGGAGGAACACCAGAUGCGAAGGCGGGUCACUGGGCUGAUACUGACGCUGAGGCGCGAAAGCCAGGGGAGCGAACGGG